rnacentral:rRNA from 1 species
CAGCCUUGCGGCCGUACUCCCCAGGCGGAGUGCUUAAUGCGUUAACUUCAGCACUAAAGGGCGGAAACCCUCUAACACUUAGCACUCAUCGUUUACGGCGUGGACUACCAGGGUAUCUAAUCCUGUUCGCUCCCCACGCUUUCGCGCCUCAGUGUCAGUUACAGACCAGAAAGUCGCCUUCGCCACUGGUGUUCCUCCAAAUCUCUACGCAUUUCACCGCUACGCAUGGAAUUCCACUUUCCUCUUCUGCACUCAAGUCUCCCAGUUUCCAAUGACCCUCCACGGUUGAGCCGUGGGCUUUCACAUCAGACUUAAGAAACCACCUGCGCGCGCUUUACGCCCAAUAAUUCCGGAUAACGCUUGCCACCUACGUAUUACCGCGGCUGCUGGCACGUAGUUAGCCGUGGCUUUCUGGUUAGGUACCGUCAAGGUGCCAGCUUAUUCAACUAGCACUUGUUCUUCCCUAACAACAGAGUUUUACGACCCGAAAGCCUUCAUCACUCACGCGGCGUUGCUCCGUCAGACUUUCGUCCAUUGCGGAAGAUUCCCUA